GAAGUGACGCUGACUCAGCCAGUGAGGAGCGGGCCUGUCUCCAACAGGCUGCAGAGCUGGGAGGAGACUUGGAGCCUCAUCCCGGAGAAAGGGCUGCCGGAGGAUGACCCGGACACCGUUGUGAAAGGUUGGCUGUACCGGGAGCCCCGCGGAGGAGGGGCGCGGCCCUGGCUGCCCCCGCGCCGAGCCUGGUUUGUGCUCACGCGGGACUCCCUGGAUCAGUUCAGCAGCAGCGGGAAAGGGGCGCGGCGUCUCGGGAGCCUCGUGCUCACCAGCCUGUGCUCGGUGACCGGCCCAGAGCGCAGGCGUAAGGAGACAGGUCUGUGGUCAGUGACUGUGUCUGGUCGGAAACACAGUGUCCGCCUCUGCUCCCCACGCCAGGCAGAGGCUGAGCGCUGGGGGGUGGCAUUGCGGGAAGUGAUCGCCUCCAAGGCACCCCUGGAGACCCCCACCCAGCUACUGCUCAGGGACAUACAGGUACACACCAGGGAGAGCCGGGAGAGUGGUAGACCCCAAACCUUUCUGGGCUCGUGAGGAACUCCCUUCCCCAUCAAGGUGACCCUCUCCCUGGCCCCCUAGGAAAGUUGCGGGGACCCAGAGGCCGUUGCCCUCAUUUACCUGAGGAACCCGAUUCUGAGACACACUAGUGGAGCCUUGUACGCCCCGCUCCUGCCCCUGCCCUAUGGAGUCAGUGCCCCAGGUGAGU
rnacentral:sRNA from 1 species